rfam:Nannochloropsis gaditana mitochondrion, complete genome.
GGCUGGAUAACAUAAAGGUAAUGUCCAAGAUUGCAAAUCUUGUAAUGGCGGUUCAAAUCCGUCUCUAGCCU